rnacentral:rRNA from 1 species
GACGAACCGUGCGAACGUUGUUCGGAAUCACUGGGCUUAAAGGGCGCGUAGGCGGGCCAUCAAGUCAGGGGUGAAAUCCUCCAGCUCAACUGGAGAACAGCUUUUGAUACUGGUGGCCUCGAGGGGGGUAGGGGCAUGUGGAACUUCCGGUGGAGCGGUGAAAUGCGUAGAUAUCAGGAGGAACACCGGUGGCGAAGGCGGAUCUCUGGGCCUUACCUGACGCUCAGGUGCGAAAGCUAGGGGAGCGAACGGG